rnacentral:lncRNA from 1 species
UGUUUAAUGAAGUAAUGGAUUAACACUGAAGUCCAGAUUGUAACACAAGGAAACUUGGAACACAUGAAGAGAGGCUGUCCCUGCCUGCCAGCUUCAGAGAGAGAUGGAGCUAGAGAAAGAGCUGUGGAUGGCCCUGAACGGAGGGAACCUUGGGGAGAAAUGGAAACAUCAAAAUGUGAGAUGAGAAGAUCUGGGUUCUAAUCAAGGCUUUACUACAAAUUGUGUGACCCUGUUAGACUCACUUAAUUCCCAUAGCGCCUCAGUUUCCUCAUCUGCAAAAAAUGAACUAAAUUGAAGAGCUCUGAAAUUUUGUAAAACAUGUGCUGUUAA